rnacentral:lncRNA from 1 species
ACACCAGAGCACCAACUUCUCUCACUUAAACCUUAUGACAACCUUAAGAAGUAGGCAGCAUGAUCCCCUUCUUGGAAAUGCAGAAAGAGAGAAUGGGGGAGAUUGAGAGGCUUGCAGAAUGUGACAUCAUUAGGGAGAACAGUGGUUGAGGUCCAGCAGCUCCUGCAGAUGGGUGGUGGUGGAAGGAGGAGAGAAUGGGCCACAGGCAGGCCAAGGGCAAGCUUAGCAGCACUCAACAUCCUCCAUGAACUCAACAGAAGUCAAGAAUGCAGGCAGCUCAUGAUGAAGACCUGCAGCGGCCCAGGUUUACCAAGCUCAUUCACAAUUGCAGUUGGAGAAUUCGUCUUUGGUCAUUUUCUACUUUGGAAAUACGGUACAACUGGUCAGGGAGAACCAAUGGCAGACAUGUGCUAUAUCCCAACACACCUUGACUCUUGCUCUCACCGGAAGCUCAGCUUAGGGAAAGGAGAUCUUAAUAGGAGACAGAAGACCCGGACGCUGGUUUUGAUUGUGCCCUUCUCCAGCUGUGUGGCCUUGAGCAGCUGGUAUGUGGCAACGACCUGACUUCAACCAGGAAGACAAGGUUGAUGACCUAAGGAAUAGCACUGUAGCAAAUGGAAGGAUCCCUGAGUGACUGUGUGGAGCAGAGCCCUCCUACCAGCCUGGACUAGCCAACAUAAGAUUAAGAUAUUUUUUACAUAAAGCAUACUGCAUGGGUGUCCUACUGGUGAUGGAAAAAGAAAUGAAAGCAUCUCUCAAAAGGGUCAAACCAAGGCCAGGUUUUAUUUGGUGUUUGAGAAAACCUGGAUUAUUUGGGUCAGGAGAAAAUUUUGGACUUCCUGCUAAUCACAGGAUUUCAACAGCAAGCGUCUUCAAAUCAUGUGUGACAUCCCCUGGCUGAUAAGAGCCUUCCCACCUCAUCUCAAGGAAGGCAACACCUUUCAUAACUACUAGAAUGACUACACUUGCCUCACUAAAUUGUAGUUGUUGAACCACAAACUUGAUUCCUACUUCUGUAAAAAUAAAUCAGAAUUAAAAUGAUUAAGAUAUGGAAUUGAGCCUCCAUGAGGUUUCAGCAGGCAUCCAUAACCUACAGGGUUAUGACAGUCAUAUUUUCUGAAUCCCAAAUCAGGACAUGGGACCAUGGAAAUAGAGAAGACCAUCAAGCAGAACGUUUGACUUCAGUUCUGUCGUGAAGAUUCUGGGUUUUCAAUCCUUCUAACUACAGUACUAGAUGACAAAGAUGAUUUAUUGCACAUUAAGCACUCAUGAGUGCUCUAUUAACCUCAUUCCUUGGAAUGAUUGUUUUAAAACAACUUUCCAUUUUUGCUAUUAAAAUACCUACUACUUGGGAGACUGAGGCAGGAGAAUCACUUGAACCCGGGAGGUGGAGGCUGCAGUGAGCCGAGACUGCACCACUGCACUCCAGACUGGGCAACAGAGUGAGACUCUGUCUCAAAAAAAAAAAAAGUAAUGCAUAUUAAUUGAAGAAAAUAUAGACAUGGAAAGGAAAGAAAAUCAUCCAUCCAUAAUUUCACAACCCAGAGAUAACAACCACUAACAGCUUAAUAAAUAGCAUUUCAACUUU